GCUCUUUUCUAACCUCUCCCUCUAGUGGCAGGAAGGAAUUAAAUUGAUUUGUUCUAGGAGGAUCAUAAAUAAAUUACCGUACCUAGGUAUUUGGCACUAAAUAUUCAUGAGGUUCAAUUUUUUAUAUGAAAAGUUGGCUUAAGAUUGCUUUCUGUGUUUGGGGGGAAUUGUUUGUUGUCCUGAUAUGUUGCUGCUUUAGAACCACUCUGAAAACUUUUUUUCCCUUUACUACAUGAUCCCACUCAAUCAGGGAUCAUGCAGAGAACAGGAUGUCAUGACAUCACAUGACAACAUCCCCAAGAGUAAAUAAAGCUCUUCCAUAACUAUGACUCUUAAUAAGGGAACAGUCCCUUCUGUCCAGGCAAUUGUUUGAUGCUCCUUGCAGGCACUGUAGUGACAGUUUCAUUGCCUACCAGCAGCAUACAAUGGAGCUCUCAUUGCUUGUGGCUGCACUAGACUAGUUGGGGCAUAAUGCAACUGUACAUCCCUUUAAUAGGAAUGCAGUGCAGACAGACAGAUUCCCAAAUCAUAGGAGCAUACUAAACAACUUUAUAGCCAGACUACUUUUCUAUACUUUUCUAGUAUUGUCAUGCUCUGACUGGCAAUAGCUCUCCAUGGUCCUGGGUAGAGAUAUUUCUCAUCAUCUACAGAUCCCUCUAAUUGUAGGUGGCAGGAUUUGAACAUGGAAGCUUCUAUGUGGAGGAAAUAUGUCCUAAUGCUGACCAAUGAGUUUCACUGCAUUGUUUCAUUGCAUUAUUUUUAACGGGAUGUGACUUCAGAUGUGCCAUUCAUAAUCAACAAUGCCCAUUGGAUCAGGGCAGAGAACACUGGCCGAGUUACGUCCACAAGAGGAGCAUAUUCCUUCUUCCAAACACUCACUUUUCUGUAAUUUGUGUUGCAGUCUUUUAAAUGAAAUGAUAAAAUAGGAAAAAUCAACAAAAGAAGAAAACAAUUGAGUGUGGUCAGGUAAACAGUGUAAGCACAACCAGAAGCUGCACCAGAAGUUCACAUUACACUGCUUGAAGAAGGAACAUAUGUUCUCAAGUAAACUUAGUGCUGUACAAAAAGAAAUGCCAAUUUUUUUGCAAUGUAACAAGCUUUAUUAAUAGUCCCACAAUACAUUACAUAUAUAUAGUACAUCUUGUAGAGUAAAUUGAAAAAGAAAUGCCUAUUUAAAACUUUGCAUUUAUUUUCCGCAGCUGUUCUCAGUAACUACAUCCCCUGGAAAUUACGGACAUAGCUAGUCAAAGAUGGAAGCAUUUAUCCCAUUCCAGAGUUCAUUUUGUCCAUGCAACCAGAGUCCAUGACAUGUAUAUCUCUAUGGAGCAGACACCUAACACACAUAAAUAAUUUCAGAUAUCCUACUGAUACUGCUUGUCAGGCUCCCAUCCCAAGUCACUAUGUCAGCAACUCUUACUGGUAAGCAAGGAAGAGUUCUUUAUUCAGGCUAAGAGCAGUACAGGCUCAGUAGGAAACACAAGGCCCGAAGUCAAGAUUCCAAGAUUCAAGGACAAAGAAAGAGGUUCAUAAUGGGAGCUUUGAAGCUGUCUUGACAGAUGACAUGUUUCUCCUCCCAAGCUUUUAAAGAUGUGGUAGAGUGAGCUCCCUCAUGGGACACGCUCACCCUAUAAAUAUGCUGUAC